AGGCUGCGGAAACACAAGUUGCUUCACUUAAAUCUGAGGCCAGUAAAUCCUCAGAAAGAAUUCAGAAGCUGCAGGAUCAACUUGACUUGGCCCGAAAAGAUGUUGCUUCGUGGAAAACCAAAUUCAACAGCGAGAAAAGAGAAAACACCAGACUCCAAGAAAGGCUUGCGAGGAUAAAAACUAGCCUAUCAGACCGCGACCAUGAGAUCAGGGAUUUGAAAACAGCCGUGUCUGAUGCGGAGCAGAAAAUCUUCCCGGAGAAAGCUCAGAUGAGGUCUGAAAUGACCAAGUUGCUCGAGGAUCGGACUAAUUUGGAAGAGCAGAUCAGAGAAUGGGAGUGCCGCGGCCGUUCUUUCGAAGAGGAGAUCAGAAACAUACUUUCUGAAAAAUUAGAAAUGGAGGAGGCACUCAAGGGUGAAAUUGAGCUGUUAAAGGCAGAAAUUGAGCAGAGAGAGAAAAAUAUAAAAGACCUCAAUGAAAAGCUUGAUACUUCAAAGUUAGAGAGAGAUAAUCUCAUUGUAGAAGUUGGUUCACUCAAGGAAGAAGUGAAAUCCAGAGAUGGUAGGAUUGAAAACAUGGACAAUCA
rnacentral:lncRNA from 1 species